rnacentral:ncRNA from 1 species
GCCGGUCCCGGCAAGCCCCGACGAGUAGGAUGGCGCGGCGGUGUGCGUCGAAGGGCAGGUCGCGAGACCGCCUGGAGCCGCCGUCGGUGCAGAUCUUGGUGGUAGUAGCAAAUACUCGAGAGGGGCCCUCGGGGGCUGCCGUGGAGAAGGGUUUCUUGUGAACAGCCGUUGUCCAAGAGUCAGUCGAUCCUAAGCCCGGGGAGAGAUCCUCGUACCACGGGCGAAGGCGUUUUCGAAUCGCCCAUGGGGCGAGAGGGAAUCCGGUCCGUAUUCCGGAACCCGACGCGGAACCGCUCCCUAGUGUUCGGGGCUCUUUUGUCUCGUCCGGGCGACCGGAAUG